GACGAACCGAGCGAACGUUGUUCGGAAUCACUGGGCUUAAAGGGCGCGUAGGCGGCUUACCAAGUCAGGGGUGAAAUUUUGCGGCUUAACCGUAACAGUGCCUUUGAUACUGGUAGGCUCGAGGGAGGUAGGGGUCCGCGGAACUUCUGGUGGAGCGGUGAAAUGCGUUGAUAUCAGAAGGAACGCCGGUGGCGAAAGCGGCGGACUGGAUCUCUUCUGACGCUGAGGCGCGAAAGCUAGGGGAGCAAACGGG
rnacentral:rRNA from 1 species